UUCUUAUCGAGAGCGGCGGAGGGAAUAGGCCCUGUGAAGCCCGGCAACCGAUUCUAGGAUCAGUAAAUAGCUGAUCAGAAUGACAUGGUGCUAAAUCCUUCAGAAUUCUUGUGAAUUCUGGCAGAUGAGAA
rnacentral:ncRNA from 1 species